GCUUGAAUCUCUGGGGAGGAGCUGAUAAAAAUUAUCGUAAAGCCACUGAGAGAUUUGAUGUCGUUUCGGAGCAAGGAAAUCGUGGAGAAAUAAGAGGUGAGAAGAAGGGUGAAAGGAGUUUGAAAGAAGAGUGGAAAGUCAUAUUUUUUGGUGGGGUCCCCAGUCUCCUAGGUUCAACAUGUUCUUCAGUAUGACCCUGGGACUGAAAUAAAACCAUUCAUCCUAGAGAGAGGCUGCUAAGGACAUCGGAAAAAGAAUUUGUUUACCAGAGCUGAAGCAGCCUUACAACCACCAUGAGGGAAGGGCCAAGAGAAUAGCAGAGACCUCCAUGUUGACAUUCUUUUUAAAAAAAAUUUUUUUAUUUCCAUAAGUUUUGGGUAGAACAGGUGGUAUU